rnacentral:misc_RNA from 1 species
GCGGUGUUUUGGUGAGCCUGAAUCGUCAUGGUAAGAUUUUCUAGUUCGGGGACUUGUGCUCCUACUUCUGUUUCUCCUUGAAACAGGAGAACGACGAUCAUAAAAUCUAACAAAAUCCCGUCUUCGACUUCUUUCAUUAGCAUAUCUAACAUCCCUAUAUGACCGCCUUUCAUCUUCGUAGCCUGAAUAACGCCGGGAUCUCACAGGUGACCUGGAUCUAUAAUCUCUUGAUCUCCGUGGAGGAGAGAAAGAACGGGAUCUCCGCCUUCGCCUAUAACUUAUUGGAGAUCUUGAUCUGGAUCGAGAUUUAGAUGGCGACCUGGAUCUUGACCUCGCACGACUGGGAGAAGGUGACUUAGCCUUGUCAUCAGUUUCCUUAUCUUCAGAAACCAGGCCGUUUGCUUUCAACAUCUUGCUUAUUUCUGCAGCUCUUGCGGCAGCCAAAUCUGUAGCAGUUUUCAUGGUUGCAGCUCGAUUAGCAGCUUGUUGUUCAGUCAUAGCUUGCUGCAUUAAUAAGGCUUGCUGGAACUGCAUCUGCUGCAUUGCUACCGCUUGCUGCAUCAUCAAGGGCAAAGAAGAAGAGCCCAUUGAUGAAUUUAAGACAGCUGCCUUCGGAGGAAGUUGUUUUGCCAUUUCAACAUUUAAGGGGCGACCACCAACUUCUAUAUUGUUCAAUGCUAAAGCAGCAGUUGCUUCU